UACGAAGGGUGCUAGCGUUGUUCGGAAUUACUGGGCGUAAAGCGCGCGUAGGCGGCUUGCCGAGUCAGGGGUGAAAUCCCACAGCUUAACUGUGGAACUGCCUUUGAAACUGUCAAGCUAGAGUGUCGGAGGGGAUAGCGGAAUUGCUAAUGUAGAGGUGAAAUUCGUAGAUAUUCGCAAGAACACCAGUGGCGAAGGCGGCUCACUGGCCCGAUACUGACGCUGAGGCACGAAAGCGUGGGGAGCAAACAGG
rnacentral:rRNA from 1 species